AUUUCUAUUCUCAAAUCAGCUGUAUUCUGCCCUUCCUCUUUGGUUUUAAGUAGUACCUUUUGCAAUUGAGUCAUAGAGGGGGUGAUUACUGGGUGGGGGAGGUGCUGGUGAUAUCAUUGUUCCUCCCACUCCUCCUCCUCCUCCUUCCAUCCAGGAAAGUGAAGUUGAUAGGGGAGGAUCAAGAGCCUGCUGUGGUGUAGGUGGAGUUGAAGCUGGGCUGUGAGAAUGGUUGAAUCCCAGACUAUCAGUUUUUAACCAUUCCCUGACAUCAAGUUCCUGCCACUGAACAAAGCUCUGAAGUAUCCUAUAAAUGAGUAGGUUGCAAACUGGGAAGAAUGCUGGGCCUGGAUUCAGGAAGAUCUGAAUUAAAUCCAACUUCAGACAUUGCCUAGUUGUGUGUCCCUGGGUAAGUCACUUAAUCUCUCUUUGCUUUAGUUUCAUUGACUAUAA